rnacentral:rRNA from 1 species
GAUCCUGGCUCAGGACGAACGCUGGCGGCGUGCCUAAUACAUGCAAGUAGAACGCUGAAGCUUGGUGCUUGCACCGAGCGGAUGAGUUGCGAACGGGUGAGUAACGCGUAGGUAACCUGCCUGGUAGCGGGGGAUAACUAUUGGAAACGAUAGCUAAUACCGCAUAAGAGUAGAUAUCGCAUGAUAGCUGCUUGAAAGGUGCAAUUGCACCACUACCAGAUGGU